rnacentral:rRNA from 1 species
ACGCUAGCUACAGGCUUAACACAUGCAAGUCGAGGGGCAGCAUUUCAGUUUGCUUGCAAACUGGAGAUGGCGACCGGCGCACGGGUGAGUAACACGUAUCCAACCUGCCGAUAACUCGGGGAUAGCCUUUCGAAAGAAAGAUUAAUACCCGAUGGUAUAAUCAGACCGCAUGGUCUUGUUAUUAAAGAAUUUCGGUUAUCGAUGGGGAUGCGUUCCAUUAGGCAGUUGGUGAGGUAACGGCUCACCAAACCUUCGAUGGAUAGGGGUUCUGAGAGGAAGGUCCCCCACAUUGGAACUGAGACACGGUCCAAACUCCUACGGGAGGCAGCAGUGAGGAAUAUUGGUCAAUGGGCGCAGGCCUGAACCAGCCAAGUAGCGUGAAGGAUGACUGCCCUAUGGGUUGUAAACUUCUUUUAUAUGGGAAUAAAGUUUUCCACGUGUGGAAUUUUGUAUGUACCAUAUGAAUAAGGAUCGGCUAACUCCGUGCCAGCAGCCGCGGUAAUACGGAGGAUCCGAGCGUUAUCCGGAUUUAUUGGGUUUAAAGGGAGCGUAGGUGGACAGUUAAGUCAGUUGUGAAAGUUUGCGGCUCAACCGUAAAAUUGCAGUUGAUACUGGCUGUCUUGAGUACAGUAGAGGUGGGCGGAAUUCGUGGUGUAGCGGUGAAAUGCUUAGAUAUCACGAAGAACUCCGAUUGCGAAGGCAGCUCACUGGACUGCAACUGACACUGAUGCUCGAAAGUGUGGGUAUCAAACAGGAUUAGAUACCCUGGUAGUCCACACAGUAAACGAUGAAUACUCGCUGUUUGCGAUAUACAGUAAGCGGCCAAGCGAAAGCAUUAAGUAUUCCACCUGGGGAGUACGCCGGCAACGGUGAAACUCAAAGGAAUUGACGGGGGCCCGCACAAGCGGAGGAACAUGUGGUUUAAUUCGAUGAUACGCGAGGAACCUUACCCGGGCUUAAAUUGCAUUUGAAUAUAUUGGAAACAGUAUAGCCGUAAGGCAAAUGUGAAGGUGCUGCAUGGUUGUCGUCAGCUCGUGCCGUGAGGUGUCGGCUUAAGUGCCAUAACGAGCGCAACCCUUAUCUUUAGUUACUAACAGGUCAUGCUGAGGACUCUAGAGAGACUGCCGUCGUAAGAUGUGAGGAAGGUGGGGAUGACGUCAAAUCAGCACGGCCCUUACGUCCGGGGCUACACACGUGUUACAAUGGGGGGUACAGAAGGCAGCUACCUGGUGACAGGAUGCUAAUCCCAAAAGCCUCUCUCAGUUCGGAUCGAAGUCUGCAACCCGACUUCGUGAAGCUGGAUUCGCUAGUAAUCGCGCAUCAGCCAUGGCGCGGUGAAUACGUUCCCGGGCCUUGUACACACCGCCCGUCAAGCCAUGAAAGCCGGGGGUACCUGAAGUACGUAACCGCAAGGAGCGUCCUAGGGUAAAACUGGUAAUUGGG